ACGUAUGGGGCUAGCGUUGUUCGGAAUUACUGGGCGUAAAGGGCGUGUAGGCGGGGGUUUAAGUUAGGUGUGAAAACCCUGGGCUCAACCUUGGAACUGCAUCUAAAACUGGUUCACUUGAGUGCGGGAGAGGAGAGUGGAAUUCCUGGUGUAGCGGUGAAAUGCGUAGAUAUCAGGAGGAACACCAGUGGCGAAGGCGGCUCACUGGCCUAGAACUGACGCUGAAGCGCGAAAGCGUGGGGAGCGAACGG
rnacentral:rRNA from 1 species